AAUUUUCAAGAAUUGAGACAAAAUAUUGGAUUUCUUUCGUAAAAUAUCUAAUAUUGAGUCUGACAUGUGUGCGAGUCAGUGGACAAAUAAACCCGUAAGGUGCAAGGAAACUGAUUGGUGGGAUCCCCUUGUGGGUUGCACCGCCGACCGACCCUGAUCUUCUGUGAAGGGUUCGAGUGAGAGCAUACCUGUCGGGACCUGAAAGAUGGUGAACUAUGCUUGAGCGGGGCGAAGCCAGAGGAAACUCUGGUGGAGGCCCGCAGCGAUACUGGCGUGCAAAUCUUUCGUUUGACUUGGGUAUAGGGCCGAAAGACUAAUCGAACCGUCUACUAAGUGAUUCCCUCCGAAGUUUCCCUCAGGAUAGCUGGAGCCCGCAGGCGAGUUCUAUCGGGUAAAGCCAAUGAUUAGAGGCAUCGUGGUAGCAAUACCCUCGACCUAUUCUCAAACUUUAAAUAGGUAUAACGGUGUGGUUGCUUCGUUGAGCCACACCACGAAAUCGAGAGCUCCAAGUGGGCCAUUUUUGGUAAGCAGAACUAGCGAUGCGGGAUUAACCGGAAGCUGGGUUAUGGUGCCCAACUGCGUGCUAACCUAGACCCCACAAAGGGUGUUUCUCGAGCUGUUCUCAAGGCGAGAGCGGUUCACCGCGUGCCGGUCGAGGGACAGAUUGAGAACGGGCCCUUCAGGGCCUCUUCCCCGAGCGUCGAACAGUCGACUCAGAACUGGUAUGGACAAGGGGAAUCCGACUGUUUAAUUAAAACAAAGCAUUGCGAUGGUCCCUCCAGAUGUUGACGCAAUGUGAUUUCUGCCCAGUGCUCUGAAUGUCAAAGUGAAGAAAUUCAACCAAGCGCCGGUAAACGACGGGAGUAACUAUGACUCUCUUAAGGUAGCCAAAUGCAUCGUCAUCUAAUUAGUGACGCGCAUGAAUGGAUUUAUGAGAUUCCCACUGUCCCUGUCUACUAUCAAGCAAAACCACAGCCAAGGGAACGGGCUUGGCGAAAUCAGCGGGGAAAGAAGACCCUGUUGAGCUUGACUCUAGUCUGACUUUGUGAAAUGACUUGAGAGGUGUAGGAGAAGUGGGAGCUGGAAACAACAGAUGUGAAAUACCAUUAUGUCUAAGGAAAGAUUUGGUAUUUAAGGGUGUCUUUAUGACCCACCUCUCUUUCUUGGGAACUAGCCUGGUGUAUAUCCACGAAUUACGACAUAAUUUCGGUAUAAGUUUUAUUGAAAAUUUUACUUUAAAAAGUAUUAUUUGAUUGUAAGACUUUCGAUGAUAAAUGAUGAUUCAAGGAUAUUCAACCUUGAAUUGGAUGGACGAAAGCAAUUAAAUUCAUUUUAAAUCGGAAGUUUUAUCUUCGCGUAAAAAGUUAUUUCGUAAGUAUAAUAAUUAUCGUCAUUUAACUAAUUAACGUUAUUUUGGCAUAAUAAAGAUUUCG